ACUGUGGAGUGUACAAGAACUUGUGAGUAGUGUUGCUGCUUACGGAACACAAAAGCAUACACGAAGAAGCAGUAA
rfam:Firmicutes bacterium M10-2 genomic scaffold acPFH-supercont1.3, whole genome shotgun sequence.